UCUGCCUCCCGUGGCCUUCGAGCAGCCGCCGCCGCCACACGCCCACCAGCCAUCCUCCCCGUCCGCCGACUCCGGCGACGCCAUGAACCCUAGGCGCCGCCCCAUCCCCGCGUUCGCUCCACCCCGAUGCCGUCCACCCCUCUCGCCAAUGGCACCGUCCGCGUUCGCCCCUCUACCAUCUCCUUCCUCGCCCAUCUCCUCCCCAUUGCUAAGCCAGGAUCUCCGCGCCCUCCCCAGUUGCUCGCACGCGAGGAGAAGAGGAGGUGGCAGCCACUGCCACCGUUCUCGUGCGGCCGCGCAGCUCCUCUGCUCCGACCCCGUCUUCCCGGGGGGCGCAGCCGUCGCUCAUGUUGCUGCAGGAGUAGUGCGCGCAGGGGGAGUGGCGGGCCAAGGUGCGCUCGCCGGCGCCGCCCGCUGAUCGGCGGAUCCCGGCGCACCCUUUCCGACGACCUGCUGGGCAUGCCACCACUGCUGUCGAUUGCCUUAACGCACAAGGAGAGUCUCACUGCCACUGCUGGGAGCAUAAGACCACCUCGAUUGUUUGAGAUCUGGAUUGUUUGUAUAGAUUUUUUUGGUAGUUGGCAGGGCCAUCGUUCGGGUUUGCUGCCGCCGCUCAUUUGGUUCUCGAUCUUGAUCGUUUCUUUGACAGUCGUCUCCUUCACAGGGCUCAGGUGGAAGCACAUUGAUAGGAUCGACGAUCGACGACCGGAUCUAUCUCACUAACAGAUGGAAAGUGCGGCUUGCCGCACCCCGCACCCACCCCUGACCGAAUUCCCACCGUACUGCCUGGGCAGUGCUGUCGCCGUCGUGCGUGGGGAAACCAACACUGUACCAAGGUCAAGUGCACCGAGCUCAUCCAUUGUGGUUUAGAUCAGCUUUUGCCUUUCCUUGAAUGCUCUUGUUCAUAUUUAUGCAUGUUUCCUGAUUCCCCUUUUCUCAUCUGUGAUGUGAUGCUCAUACGAAAAGGAAGAGUAAGAAGAAAUCUAUGAAAGAUGGUAAAUUGGCAAUAGAAGAACAUGUAGGUGUAGAAGCUGGUUGAUGCUGGCAAUUGCAAAAUAUUCUGCUUGCUCCUACCUCUUUCAUUGCAAAAUAACAAAUGUUGGAUCAACCUGAGACAGGCAGCGUGCCCCAAAGUAGUAUUACAUUGUUGUGGCUAUGUCACAGAUGCAUAAUUUUGUAUGUGUGUGCUCAAACAUAGGGUUGGGCAGGACCAACUCCAUGUAAUGGAUACAAUUAUGUUAUCUAUAAAAGCAAUUUCAUGCUUUCAUGCAUUAAAAUGAUCUAUUCUUGGCAACUAUUCUUGCAACAAUAUGUACUUUGUUUACUUGAGCCAGGCACCGCGUGCCAAUGCUGUUUUAGAUUGAUAAACACAACUGCAUUAUGUUACUUUUUAUAUUUACAAUGCUUCAAUGAUUGUAUUACCGGGUGGGAUAUGACUAUACCCGGCAGCACCGCUGUCGGGUGCGGCAAGCCGUAUUUCCUACCUAGUUCUUUUGAUUAGAAGCAAACGUGGACACUCAAGAAGAAGCUGGAAAAUCAGGAUUGGAACCCAACAAGAAAUCUGAAAGCAUAGACCAUGUUUAAGAACUGGUUGUUUUUGUUGUGCUAUUUUUAAGAAAAAGGAUUGUCUCGAAGGAAAUGAAGCUUACCAAACAAGGAAAUUAUGGCGAGGAGGCACUUUUCUCCACCCUUGGCAAUACAGAGAUGCAAUGCAAAUGUUAUGUAUUGUGCUUUUGCUUGUUCAAGGGACCUCCUAAUGACACACGAUGGAAACGGAUCCAUGGAUUAAUUCAGAUGGCAUUAAUUGGAGAGAAGGGAUCUAGCUAGGUUUGCAAUGGCAUGUGUACUACCAAAAAAUAACAUCCUCAGGUUCUCUCCUGCAAAUCUAAAGAUCAUGUUCGCAGAGCUAAUAAAUGUAUAUGGAUUAAAAUAAAGAUGAUGUGUAUUCACCAAUAUAUAUGUAUUUCCAUCAAGAAAUAAGUUUGGAAGAGUAGUAAGUACCACGACAUUUUCUUUCAUAAUACAAUGGUGUUUAUUUGAUAAUGUGUUUCUAUGACAUGCAUAUGUUGCUUUAAUUUGCUCGUCCGCGAACCCCUCAAAAUUAUCUGACAAUCUGCUUAUACAAACAGCUUUGAGUUUGGUGCACUCUAUUGCUUUGUUAGGCUUGGUGGUGUAUCAGAUUCAGGAGAAUAAUAGUCCCUCUGUCAUCAUAUUUUUGUUUGUGGUAAUGCAUGACAUUCAACUGUAUGUAACAAUAUGGCAAUGACUCAAGAGACAUCCGAUCUGCCUUCUUGGCUUAGGGCAUCAGGGGUGGCACACGCGUCCCACUUGGUGGCGGUGACAGAUCGGCAAGAACAAGGGUGGGGUUGUAUUAAGGAGGAGAGCGGGGCGGUUGGCGAGGGACUCCUCCUUGGCGGUCCGUGGGGAAGUAAGGUGGACUGCUGGUCAUUGAUGGAGUCGGGCUCAUGCAGCAAAAUCUGUGAUAUUCUCUGGAAGCUGCAGGUAGGCCAGGCUGUUCAUGAGGAUCCGACGACGACCACCAAGGUAAUAUCCAUCCACGGAUAUUCUCAAAGACAGCGGCGGGGGGGCAUAUGAUGAAGGAUUUGCCAACAAGGGGGUUAUCGUCAAUUAUCCCGUUUGCUGAAGAUGCAUUCAACAAAGAAGAUAAUUGUGGGGAAUUUUUGCAGGUAAUAUCCAUCCAUGGAUAUUCUUAGUCUCUUGCUUGGAGAACCUUUUUUUGCCCCCUUGCUUGCAUGUAAACAUCAACCUCAAAUUGUACUUGGUCAUAUUAUCAGAAUUGGAACAGAAAAAAAGGGUGUAAAGUUGGUGUUACUUCGAACUUAAUGAUACCUUUGUUCGAUGCAAAGAAUUUCAUUUUUAAGAAAAUCAUUUUUAAGAAAAGGCUGGGACAUC